rnacentral:rRNA from 1 species
AUGAACGCUGGCGGCGUGCCUCAUACAUGCAAGUCGAGCGAACAGAUAAGGAGCUUGCUCCUUUGACGUUAGCGGCGGACGGGUGAGUAACACGUGGGUAACCUACCUAUAAGACUGGAAUAACUCCGGGAAACCGGGGCUAAUGCCGGAUAACAUUUAGAGCCGCAUGGUUCUAAAGUGAAAGAUGGUUUUGCUAUCACUUAUAGAUGGACCCGCGCCGUAUUAGCUAGUUGGUAAGGUAACGGCUUACCAAGGCAACGAUACGUAGCCGACCUGAGAGGGUGAUCGGCCACACUGGAACUGAGACACGGUCCAGACUCCUACGGGAGGCAGCAGUAGGGAAUCUUCCGCAAUGGGCGAAAGCCUGACGGAGCAACGCCGCGUGAGUGAUGAAGGUCUUCGGAUCGUAAAACUCUGUUAUUAGGGAAGAACAAAUGUGUAAGUAACUGUGCACGUCUUGACGGUACCUAAUCAGAAAGCCACGGCUAACUACGUG